AGAAAGGAAUAGCCUCCUUUCACUCUGAGAAAUGAUACCCAUUUGUGUCAGUGAGAGUUAGGGGAGAGGUGCAUUGAGACAGAGCAGCAGGAGUCUGGCUGGGCUAGCUUUUAUCUUGUGCUCCCUGGAACCCUGACUGGAUGAUUUCUGAAGUCGAGCUGGAGCCCAUCUAGAGGGAAGGUGAAACUUCUCCUCAGCAUGCAGGGCCUCCUGCACCCACACUGCCACAGCCACCGCAUUACCAGCUCCUGCCAGUCUGAGGAGCAAGAGGCUGGCAUGAAGAAUCAGUUCCAUUCUUUCCUCCCUAAAUUUAGAAAAAGCCUGUUUUGCAAAGCUUUCUUCAGUGUUUCAAGACAAAAAAAAAAAAAUUAAGCAGUUGCACAACAUGCAUAUCUUCUCCUGGCCUGCAGCUCCAGCGAUUUUAUUAACAUCUUUGCUUCUUAUGCACCUUAAAUCCACAGGAUAUGCAGCUGGGAGCGAGUGUCCAGCCAACAGCCCGUGUCUCAGGCCCUGCCAGGGGAUGAAUCAAUUAGCAAGAGAAGCAAUGAUGCAAAUGCUCCGGGGUCACUUGGGAUGCUGUUUGCCUUUUUGAUAGAGAAAGCACACCAUAAAUAACAUCACACCUCAGGAAAUCAUUCCAGGAGGCCCCGAUGCUGGCAGGGCUGCUGCCAGGGACGGAAGGAAUCGUUUGCUCAUUGUGUGUAUUUCCCCCAGCUCAGUCAAUGGGAGAUUUGUAGUAAAAUCAAAGUAUUUAAAAGGAGGACAGUAUGUGGUAACAGAGGCAUGUUUAGCAAUUUUUUUAGUACCAGAACCUGUGAUUUAUGACCCAGAGUUACAGCCAACUUUAUUACAAAAAUGACUUCACCCAUAAUAACCUUAUUCAGGGCCCUCUGAUGAAUGAUGUAGUAUCCAACAGCAUUAUAAUCUAGUAAAUAUUCAAACACAAUUCCCGCCUCCGCCUCAUUUCCAACCAACCCCUCAGAAGCAGGCUUCCCCCUUUACCUGCUGGGAGAAGUGGGGUCCUGGGUAAGGCUUUGUGCUCUGUCUGUGGGAGUUUGCCUGGAUCAGGCAUUUAUACUAAGCCAGGACAGAAAGUGACCUCCUGGGGUCUCAGUCAUAUCUUGUCCAACCUUGUCCCCUGAGGAGUAAUGAGCAGAAGACACCCACUCACCCUUCAUUUCCUCUCUGUGCUGAAACUUAUUUCCUCCCUGCAUUCCCCCACUCCUCCAGAGCUCAGAUCCCCACCACCUGAAAGGAGCUCCAGUAAGCUCCCUGACAUUUUUAAUUGCCAUGGUAACUGAGGGCUGCACUAAAACCGCCAGGGCUGGGUGUCCAAGCAGGGUCCCCUGGGCGUACCGGGAUCUAGAAACUAGCCCUCCAUCUUAUUAAACUCCGGUGUCAGUUCCUAGCAAUUGUUUUAAAUUUACACCCUCAGAGUGGCUUAGUGGGAUUACAUGUCCAUUUGCAUUAAAACAGUUUUCUGUCAUUAAACUGCCAUACAAUAAGCUUCCUUGGGACAAAUUAAUGAGCUCUAAAUAUCAUCAAGUAGAAGUUCACUUCAAGACAGGCAACAAGGAGGGGGGUCGGAAGGAAGUGGCUGCUCAGAAUCUCAUGGCCCAGGAGAACGAUAAGUGCCAACUAAAGAAGGGUCUUGUCCUGUUUCUUCACUGCACGAUAAGUGGUCCUGAUUUAGAGCUGAAUGGGGAGAUUUGGCAAUAUUCUCCCUGUUCGCCAAAAUCCUAUAGCUCAUCUUCUAUUCCUUCUUCCAAAUAUGACUUUACCCUUGACUUUGCUGAAAUUUGCUGAUGAAACACUGACCUCUUGUCUCAGUGACAAUGUCUCAGCCUCAUUUUCUUUGUCCUGUAGUUUCUCUGUCCUUGAGGAACUUGCGUGCAUCCACGUGGCCUGGGA
rnacentral:lncRNA from 1 species